rfam:Gossypium raimondii Chr10_contig_486, whole genome shotgun sequence.
GGGAUAUGAUGAGUGGUUAAUUCUCACAAUCGUUGUGGGAUGAGUGUCCGCCCCAAAGCCUGGUUACGACACUCGGGCACUCUCCUUUUUACCACCUGAUCCC